UUGGGGGUGUAAUGGACCACCAAGGCGACGAUCAGUAGCUGGUUUGAGAGGAUGAUCAGCCACAAUGGGACUGAGACACGGCCCAUACUCCUACGGGAGGCAGCAGUAGGGAAUUUUGCGCAAUGGGGGCAACCCUGACGCAGCAACGCCGCGUGACCGACGACGCCCUUCGGGGUGUAAAGGUCUGUCAGUGGGGACGAAGAAAUGACGGUACCCACAGAGGAAGCACCGGCUAACUCCGUGCCAGCAGCCGCGGUAAUACGGGGGGUGCGAGCGUUGUCCGGAAUCAUUGGGCGUAAAGAGUUCGUAGGUGGUAUGUUAAGUCAGGUGUUAAAUUCUGAAGCUUAACUUCAGCAGGGCACUUGAUACUGGCAAACUAGAAUGCGGUAGAGGUAAAGGGGAUUCCUGGUGUAGCGGUGAAAUGCGUAGAUAUCAGGAGGAACAUCGGAGGCGUAAGCGCUUUACUGGGCCGAAAUUGACACUGAGGAACGAAAGCCGGGGUAGCAAAUGGGAUUAGAUACCCCAGUAGUCCCGGCCGUAAACGAUGGAUACUAGGUGUUGCGAGUAUCGACCCCUGCAGU
rnacentral:rRNA from 1 species